rnacentral:ncRNA from 3 species
UCAGAACUCCGCAGUUAAGCGUGC